UCGAGAAUCUUCCGCAAUGGACGAAAGUCUGACGGAGCGACGCCGCGUGAUGGAUGAAGUCCCUCUGGGACGUAAACAUCUUUUAUGAGGGAGAAAGUUUAUUGAUAGUACCUCACGAAUAAGGGGUUGCUAAACUCGUGUCAGCAGCAGCGGUAAUACGAGUGCCCCGAGCGUUAUCCGGAAUCAUUGGGCGUAAAGGGUGUGUAGGUGGCAUUGUUAGUCACACGUUAAACCCUGGGGCUUAACCCCAGAUCUGCGUGUGAUACGGCAAAGCUAGAGGAUGGCAGGGAUGUAUGGAACUCAUGGAGUAGGGGUGAAAUCCGUUGAUAUCAUGGGGAACACCGAAAGCGAAGGCAGUACAUUGGGCCACUCCUGACACUGAAACACGAAAGCGUGGGUAGCGAAUGGGAUUAGAUACCCAUGUAGUCCCUGAG
rnacentral:rRNA from 1 species